UCAAUAUGGCGGCUUUGGGGGCGAGGUUGUUAAUAACUACUUGUAACUUUUUUUUUUUACAUCAAGCAUUUAUUUUAUAAAUAGAUGAAAAACAAUCCCAUUUUAUGCGUUAAAUCGAUGACGCACUUCCGUCGUUAUACGUCGACGCGCACGUGCGUGUGGACGCGCAUGUGGGGGGGACCGCUUGCAUUGUAAAGAAAAUUAGGAAAAGGAUUGUGGAAGGCGAAGAGUUUCACAAAUCAAGCAAUAUGCACGGCUUUUCUUCGUCUACCUUGACAAUGUGCAGUUUGGGCAGGAGGUUGCAGUCGGCCAGCGUGAGCCGGUUUCCGUCCAGAAAGUUUCUCCUGGACGGCUUUUCCUCCUCGGCGCUGUUGCCGUCGACCUCGUCAGGCAGCGGACUGUUCAGUAUGUCACCCUGUAGUUCCCACAAUGCGGCGUGCUGCCUCACCGUCGUUGGCGUCCAUUUUGGUGUUCUUGAUGAAGGCGGAGAACUUUGCGAAGAUGUCGUUGCCGGCCGUGUUGGACUCCCUCUGCUUGGCUGCCAGUUUGGGUCCGUCCAGAUUUGAACAGCACGCCGGCGGCGUGAUGGCUCACCUCUUGAGGUCCACGGUGGUGACGUUGAAGACGACCCCUUUGAGCCACAAGAUCAUGAAGAGGCGCUGGGAGAACGGACAGUUGCCAAUGCUCUCGCCGUCGCUGCCCGCCUGGAAACAAUUCGGCAUCAUUAUAACGCAUCCCACCCGUCGAGUCCCUGGGGCGGGGGUGCCUGAGGCGAACGCCGGAGGAGGAUGCAGAACAAGAGGAGAAGAAGAAGCCACACGUCGCUGAGCAUCACAUGUAACUUUACCUCUGCUACAGGCUCCCUGUCUGGAUCUGCCAUGUUUCUCCUUCUGUGCCAAACACGUGAACGUGUCACUCCGCUACAUUCUACCUUGAAACUUCACAAAUGGUCCCGGUGUCGAAAUCCGACUGUGCGCUGAAGAGGACCCGAAGUGGUCCUAAAGUCAGCUGAUGGGUCGCGGAUGCGGACUGAGGUCAGAUUUGUUUAGUAGUGCAGCUGUAACGCAAGCGGCAAGCCGUUGAACUAUACUGAGUGGUAGCAGGUGGCAAGCUGUACUGCAUUGGUUUGGGGGGUGGGGGGGGGUGUAUGGUCCCAAGAGAGCCUGAGCUCCAUUUCUUAAUACCACGAGUUCACCUUUGUAACAAGUGGAGAAAGUCAACACAAAUCUCUCGUUAAAAAAAAAAAAAAAAAACUUGAGAUGAUGAACACAUAUAAUACAGUAAUUGCAAUUACAUCAUAUAUAUAUGGAUUAUUUUAAACAGUAUCCACGGUACAAUGACAAAAUCUGACCUAAAACCUAUAUAAUUGUAAAUGGCAAAAAUUGGGGGGGGUUCGGGACAUACCGUAAUUUCCGCCCUACAAGCCGCGACUAUUUUCACACACCAGCCUGCAGUUUAUGCGGCGAUCCGGUGCUAGCGUUAGCGAGGUGCUAGCGUUAAACUUGACUUCCUGAUUCCAUUUUUUGGGUGUGAUUACAAUUUAUAGCAUGCACAUGAUGUAAUAUUCAUUAUUAAACAUCUGCAAACCUCGUGAAUUAACUUUUUUCCUCCUGCAAACUCAAAUCAUGAUAUUUAACGCCAUUUGUCCCCUUUUUUAAUUCCUGUCGCCCAAACGUUUCCAAAACUGAACAAAUGUCACGAAAUACAAAAUAAAUAAACCAUAUUUAUAUCUGACAGAUUAGCUAUUUAAAGAUGGUGGUAAAAAUCAGUCACUUGUCAGGCUAAUCAUAAACAGGCCUGUCAAACAGUAACGUUUCGAAAACUGCAGCAACUGAAGCGCGUCGACGUCUUCAGAAACCUGGAAAAAGUCGCAGUUCCCGAAAAAGGCGCAGAGGCAACUCGCGACAAAGAAUAAAGAAAUAAAAAUGUAAAACAUAUUUCAAAUUCAAUAAGAAAAGUAAGAUUUCAUUUGUUUACUAAAACAAAAAUAAUUUAUAAGGAGCAACGACAAUGAUGUCAAAAAAAAUAUUUUGGGAGUGUGCAAAAAUAAAAAUUAUAAAUUGAAGAACAUUUUUAUGUAUAUUUGUUACAUUGAAUUUAUUACCUAAAAUAUUGCUUUUUUUUAAAAAAGUCAGUUUCGAGAAAAGGCAUAAUAACAACAAUGGCAAAUUGCUAAAAAAAAAAAAAAAGUGACUUUGAAUUGUCAAAGAGUGAAUUGUUUAACAUUAUUUUAGUAGUAUUUAGCGGGUGGUUUUACACAUAAAAGUUGAGUUUUAAAAUGUCACUUGAAACAUUUUUCUCUAUUCCAGUCAGUGAAGGUUUAAAGAUGGCGAGAGUUUGACCCUGAAACCUAAUACGUCUUAAUUUUUCCAUAACUUACUAUGGUUGCUUUUUUUUUUUUAAAUGGAAGUGCGGAGAACAGUGCAAAACUCGGGCGUGGCACUCCACACCGGUGCCCUCUGCCCACCGUAAAUCUCGGAAUGUUGGGUGCAGAUAAGAUAUACCUGUCAUAAAUGUGAGGACGCGCCCGCGAGGGUCACUGCAAAGAUCGGGACUCGUAUUUUAACCAAACGUUGUCCUAGAACGGACACGGCGUAUACAACAGGAUUCUGGAACGGCAACUUGAGGCAUUUAUAGGAUGAAAGACCGCCAGACAUGAACAUGGGACCUUUUGGGGAACUGAGAAGCGGAAGCGCACACAAGUUCAAGUGGUGACCUUUGAACUGGCGGCGUAGAG